UGAGUAACCUGCCCUUAACUCUGGGAUAAGCCUGGGAAACUGGGUCUAAUACCGGAUAUGACUCCUCAUCGCAUGGUGGGGGGUGGAAAGCUUUAUUGUGGUUUUGGAUGGACUCGCGGCCUAUCAGCUUGUUGGUGGGGUAAUGGCCUACCAAGGCGACGACGGGUAGCCGGCCUGAGAGGGUGAUCGGCCACGCUGGGACUGAGACACGGCCCAGACUCCUACGGGAGGCAG
rnacentral:rRNA from 1 species